UACGUAGGGAGCAAGCGUUGUCCGGAAUCAUUGGGCGUAAAGCGCGCGUAGGCGGCCCUGUAAGUCCGUUGUGAAAGUCAAAGGCUCAACCUUUGAAAGCCGAUGGAUACUGCAGGGCUAGAGUCCGGAAGAGGCGAGUGGAAUUCCUGGUGUAGCGGUGGAAUGCGCAGAUAUCAGGAGGAACACCAAUAGCGAAGGCAGCUCGCUGGGACGGUACUGACGCUAAGGCGCGAAAGCAUGGGGAGCGAACAGG
rnacentral:rRNA from 1 species